rnacentral:rRNA from 1 species
UACGAAGGGAACUAGCGUUGUCCGGAAUUACUGGGCGUAAAGAGCGCGUAGGCGGUUUAUUAAGUUGGGAGUGAAAUCCCGGAGCUCAACUCCGGAACUGCUCUCAAAACUGGUAGACUAGAGUGUGAUAGGGGGUGAUGGAAUUCCUAGUGUAGAGGUGAAAUUCUUAGAUAUUAGGAGGAACAUCGGUGGCGAAGGCGAUCACCUGGAUCACUACUGACGCUGAGGUGCGAAAGCGUGGGGAGCAAACAGG